CUGGUGUUUCGUUUUUUUUUUCCUUUUUCCUGAUUCUGUUAUCUGAUCCCGUAUGUUGUUGUUUUGUAGGUAUCCCUAAACGUUGAUCGGUAUUGUAAAUGCUUAAUGUUAUUUGAAUGAGUUCAAGGAAGGAGAUAAAUUUUUAUAAAAAGUUUGUUUUGUAGAUAAGAUGGAUGGCGACUUUAAAAUCAUAAGAAAAAUCCUUUGGUGCACCACUGUAAGGGCAGUACGUGAUCGUGAUGAAAUCAUUUUUUAAAAAUGUUGCAACCGCAAUUUUUGAUACAACUUACGGGUUUAACAAGGAUUUGGAAAAGAUCUUGAUUCGCUUAUACUGGAAAAUUUAGGACAAGGAAGUCAAUUUCUUUAAAUGAAGAUCAUCAGUCCAUCGAGGAGAGAGAAAAUAACUGGCAAAGAUAAGAAUUUCAAUUUUCAGAUAUAUGGCAACUUCUGAUUUGUUGAAUGAGUUGUCUAAAGACGGAUAUAAAGCGGAUCAUGAUCUAGAGUUGAAGAUUUCGAUGACCGUUCAAUAGAGAAAUAAAAGGAAAUGCCUCGAAAAGUUUGCAUCCUUCCAUAGUUUUGUUAGCGUUUUUGUUCAAUUUUCACUUAGUCACAGAACAAUACAAAAUCCGAUCAUAGUUAACGAAGGCAGCUUGAACAGUCAAACAAAAGCUAGAAGACAUUUUUUCGGUUGUAUUCCUAUACUUUUACAUGAUUUGUGUUCAUCUAAUUCAAGUUUAAUCUCAAUGACAAAGUCGAUUAUGUAUUUUUUAUGUAAAUGAAGUGUUAUAUAUCAUACGAAAGUAGCUUUUGUUGAGAAAUCAUCAAGCACAUUCUUCUCAAUUUAAGAAAUAAG